GGGGCCGAUCCGGCCCCACUCUUCACCCGUGCAUUCCAGUCCAUGUUGCUUUGGCGGGUCCCUGGGCGUCCAGCGCGGGCUCGGGCCGCGAGUGCCCGCCAAAGGCCCCCUUCCACCCUGAUAUCCGUCGCGUCCGAGUCACAUUCUAAUAGUUAAAACUUUCAACAACGGAUCUCUUGGUUCUGGCAUCGAUGAAGAACGCAGCGAAAUGCGAUAAGUAAUGUGAAUUGCAGAAUUCAGUGAAUCAUCGAAUCUUUGAACGCACAUUGCGCCCUCCGGCAUUCCGGAGGGCAUGCCUGUUCGAGCGUCAUUUAAACCCUCAAGCUCUGCUUGGUCUUGGGAUCCGCCCGCCGUGGCGCGCCCGAAAUGCAGUGGGGGUCCAGCGAGACUUCAAGCGUAGCCAGAUUCUCAAUCCCGCUUUUGAAGCGCUCGCGGGGGCUUGCCAACCAAAGCGGAGUCAUUACGACUCCCACGAUUGACCUCGGAUCAGGUAGGGAUACCCGCUGAACUUAAGCAUA
rnacentral:rRNA from 1 species